AGAACGAACGCUGGCGGCAGGCCUCAAACAUGCAAGUCUAGGGGGUGUAGCAAUACAUCACCGGCGGACGGGUGCGUAACACGUGGGAAUAUACCUUUUGGUUCGGAACAACGCAGGGAAACUUGCGCUAAUACCGAAUGUGCCCUUACGGGGAAAGAUUUAUCGCCAAAGGAUUAGCCCGCGUAGGAUUAGCUAGUUGGUGAGGUAAUGGCUCACCAAGGCUCCGAUCCUUAGCUGUUCUGAGAGGAAGAUCAGCCACACUGGGACUGAGACACGGCCCAGACUCCUACGGGAGGCAGCAGUUGGGAAUCUUGGACAAUGGGGGAAACCCUGAUCCAGCCAUGCCGCGUGAGUGAUGAAGGCCUUCGGGUUGUAAAACUCUUUCGGACGGGGACGAUAAUGACGGUACCCGUAGAAGAAGCUCCGGCUAACUUCGUGCCAGCAGCCGC
rnacentral:rRNA from 1 species